GAUGAACGCUGACGGAAUGCUUAACACAUGCAAGUCAACUUGAACUUCGGUUUGGGUGGCGGACGGGUGAGUAACGCGUAAAGAACUUGCCUCACAGAUAGGGACAACAUUUGGAAACGAAUGCUAAUACCUGAUAUUAUGAUUAUAUGGCAUCGUAUAAUUAUGAAAGCUAUAUGCGCUGUGAGAGAGCUUUGCGUCCCAUUAGCUAGUUGGAAGGGUAACGGCUCACCAAGGCGAUGAUGGGUAGCCGGCCUGAGAGGGUGAUCGGCCACAAGGGGACUGAGACACGGCCCUUACUCCUACGGGAGGCAGCAGUGGGGAAUAUUGGACAAUGGACCAAGAGUCUGAUCCAGCAAUUCUGUGUGCACGAUGAAGUUUUUCGGAAUGUAAAGUGCUUUCAGUUGGGAAGAAAAAAAUGACGGUACCAACAGAAGAAGUGACGGCUAAAUACGUG
rnacentral:rRNA from 1 species